rnacentral:rRNA from 1 species
CCAAAAGCGGAAAAGAAAAUAACUAUGAUUCCCUUAGUAACGGCGAGUGAACAGGGAAAAGCCCAAAUUUGUAAUCUGGCACUUUUUACGAGUGUCCGAGUUGUAAUUUGUAGAAUCGUUAUCCGCGCUGGACCAUGUACAAGUCUGUUGAAAAGCAGCAUCAUUGAAGGUGAAAAUCCUGUAGAUGAUAUGGACUACCAGUGCAUUUGUGAUACGGUUUCUAAGAGUCGAGUUGUUUGGGAAUGCAGCUCAAAGUGGGUGGUAAAUUCCAUCUAAGGCUAAAUAUAAGUGAGAGACCGAUAGCAAACAAGUACCGUGAGGGAAAGAUGAAAAGAACUUUGAAAAUAGAGUUAACAGUACGUGAAAUUGCUGAAAGGGAAACGUUUGAAGUUAGUAUUGUAUUCGUUGGAUCAGCUUCGCAAGGAGUGUAUUCUGAUGAUAAGCAAGUCAACAUCAAUCUUUGGGUGUUGGAUAAGGGUUUUGAGGACGUAGCAAUUUAAUUGUGUUAUAACUUGAGACUUGGAUACAAUGCUUGGGAUUGAGGAACGCGUAGUAAGCUUUGUGCGGAUCAGCUAAUGAUCUCCUUACUAUGGAUGUUG